UUGGAAUAUCGGCACGAAAUCGUCGGAUGAAAAUCUGAGGUGCCCGACGCACAACAUUUUGAACGUGCCACGGAGGAUCAAGGCAAAAAACGAGAGCAAAAAAGGUGCACGCUGAAGGCGGAAAUGAAGCAUGAUCUGGCUUGCAUCUGGUGCAUGAAGAAAUUGCUGGCACGUUAGUUGCAGUCUACCUCCACCAACAGGGUGGAAAACAAAGGUCGCCAUUCCGAUUAGCUGCUAUCUCCCAGUUCAAGCACUUUUGCUGUCUGGACACUGGUUCCUGUGGAUGGGCUGUUACAAGCUUCACUGUCUGAUAUAGAAGUGAUGAGCAUCCAUAAGGACACAUGGCAGAAAGGGAGUCUCUUUGAGAUGACAAACCCUCAUCACCUCAUGAGGAUACAAUGGUUGACGAAUGGUUCUCAAGUACAUCGAAACUUCAACAAAUAAUUCAUGAAAAAGCCAGUCAGUGCUAGCACCAGGAAUUGAACGUGGACCGUCCUGCUACCAGUCAGAGAUGUUACAUUUCAGGCGCUCAUUGACUUUUGGUGAAUUACUUGUUGACUUUGUCCCAAGGUGGAGCUCGCCACAGCUCAUUUGUCUAUCUGUUAAUGUUGUGGCGUGUGUUGCGUUUUUCUCUUUGUGUGUUCCAGACUCAGAACGGUUAAUUUGGAUCAGGUCAGGUACGUUUCAUUUAGACAUGGCAAACAUAAAGUGGUGUUUCUCAACACAACUUAGCAGUGGCCUUCAUGCAUU